GGUUGCAGGACGGCGGGGGCGGAACUGCGCAUGUGCCCAAGGUCACCCUCUUUCCGGGUACCGGGGCGGAUUACAGCUGUUCUGGGCGGGGCUGCUUGCCCAGGCAAAGGGUAGGCUUUUAUCAAUCACCUUGGGAGGAACUUUGAAGACUAUUCAAACGCUUCUACCUGGGUGUGAGUUUGUUACAUUAAUACUUCUGUUUUAAAAAUGAAGAAUCAGGGACAUUAACAAAUGUCACUGCAAGACCUGGCAUGUCUCGGUGUCUGCAAAGUCCAGAAGAGGACAUUAGAACGCCUUGGAGCGUAAGUUAAAAGGCUUUUGUAAACCACCAAAUACAGGUGCUGGGAUUCAAACUCAGUCCUCAGGACUGAGCGGGAAACACUUUUAACCAAUGAGCCAUCUCUCCAGCCCCUCAGAAAAACUUCAAGCCAAAGAAUUGAAGCUGGAAUUGCAGAAGGCUGUGAGCUGCCAAGUGAGUUCAAGAAACAAGGCCAUUCGGCAAGAGCAGCAACUGAUCUUUCCAGCUUCACGAAACACAAUGUUUUAAAAAAGGUUUACUGACAUAAUUUUAUAUAGCAAAGAUUUAACCAUAAUAGCUAUAUAAUUUAAAUAACUUUUAAUUGUAUAGAAUUGUAAAACCAUUGCCAUAAUAAAGCUUUGGAACAUUUUUCGCCCCUGGAA